UACGGGUAGCGCAAGUGUUAUUCCUCUUGAUUGGGCGUAGAGGGUGUGUAGGUGGCAUAAUAAGUUGGAAAUAAAAAACUAUGUUGAUCAAUUGACUUUUUCAAUACUGUUAUGCUUGAGUAAUAAUAAGAAUAGUGGAACUUCUUGCAUCAGAGUUAAAAUGCGUUUAUACAAGGGGGAACCCCAAAGGCGAAAGCAACUAUUCAAUUAUUUCUGACACUGAGACACGAAGGCAUGGGUAUCAAAUAGG
rnacentral:rRNA from 1 species